rnacentral:rRNA from 1 species
CUACCCUGUACACACGGAUAACAUACCGAAAGGUAUGCUAAUACGGGAUAAUAUAUUUGAGAGGCAUCUCUUGAAUAUCAAAGGUGAGCCAGUACAGGAUGGACCCGCGUCUGAUUAGCUAGUUGGUAAGGUAACGGCUUACCAAGGCGACGAUCAGUAGCCGACCUGAGAGGGUGAUCGGCCACAUUGGAACUGAGACACGGUCCAAACUCCUACGGGAGGCAGCAGUGGGGAAUAUUGCACAAUGGGCGAAAGCCUGAUGCAGCAACGCCGCGUGAGUGAUGAAGGCCUUCGGGUCGUAAAACUCUGUCCUCAAGGAAGAUAAUGACGGUACUUGAGGAGGAAGCCCCGGCUAACUACGUGCCAGCAGCCGCGGUAAUACGUAGGGGGCUAGCGUUAUCCGGAUUUACUGGGCGUAAAGGGUGCGUAGGCGGUCUUUCAAGUCAGGAGUGAAAGGCUACGGCUCAACCGUAGUAAGCUCUUGAAACUGGGAGACUUGAGUGCAGGAGAGGAGAGUGGAAUUCCUAGUGUAGCGGUGAAAUGCGUAGAUAUUAGGAGGAACACCGGUUGCGAAGGCGGCUCUCUGGACUGUAACUGACGCUGAGGCACGAAAGCGUGGGGAGCAAACAGGAUUAGAUACCCUGGUAGUCCACGCUGUAAAC